AACGCACAUUGCGCCCCUUGGUAUUCCGGGGGGCAUGCCUGUUCGAGCGUCAUUGCAACCCUCAAGCUAUGCUUGGUAUUGGGCGUCCGCGGCCUCCCCCGGGGGGCGGCGCGCCCGUAAGUUAGUGGCGGUCCAGGGAGACUUCAAGCGCAGUAGAACCUUUCGCUUUCGAGGUGUCGCCUGCGGCCCGGCCGUAAAACCCCCCAUCUUUCAAUGAUUGACCUCGGAUCAGGUAGGGAUACCCGCUGAACUUAA
rnacentral:misc_RNA from 2 species